UCAUUUUGAUGAGAAAAUUUUAGAAACAGUUUUGUUCUGGUAAUGUUUAGAUAAAAAAUUGAUAAGUGAUGGAAAACUAAGAAAAUGUUUAAGUAAGUUUAAACUGAAGAAAAUGUUUAAGUUUAAAUCCAUUUUUAAAGGACUCACAAAGUUUCUUCCCUCCUCUCUCGAAGAUUCUCACGUCAAAAUCUCUUUCCCUCUUCUUCACACUGACACCGACGCCACGUUCUGUCGCCAAUUGUAGAGCCACCUCCACCCGACUCGUUCGUUUAGCCACACACCAAACUGUUGCAGCCGAACCGUCAGGCACCACGUUGGUUGAUGCUCCGCGUUGUGCUAGCCAUCACUAGCCUCGUCCAAUCUGGAAGUUGAGGCCAAUUGAAAAGGAGAAAGUGUAUAAUCUCAGGAGAUGGAGUUAUUAAGGUAGCACUCAAGAACCAAGCAUACCUUGAGCUUCCCUUCAUUGAUUGUAGAUUCUUAUUCUUUUGUUUAUGUAUAUACUUAAGUUUUGUACUUCUAUUUGGGUGAUUAGAAGUAGUGAGAGACAUGAUGACUACUUGUCUUUUGAGAUGUCCCUCAUUAGACUAUGAUCAUUUUGUGUAUAAUAUCUAGUUUGAAUUUUAUCUCUGCUUAAAACUCUAGAACUGUCUGGAUGUGUGCAAUGAGACACACUUAUUUUGCAUUGUGGAAUAUGAAGUUUGUUUAUAUACAUAUAGAA